rnacentral:rRNA from 1 species
AUUGAACGCCGGCGGCAGGCCUAACACAUGCAAGUCGAACAGUAGCACAGAGAGCUUGCUCUCGGGUGACGAGUGGCGGACGGGUGAGUAAUGUCUGGGAAACUGCCCGAUGGAGGGGGAUAACUACUGGAAACGGUAGCUAAUACCGCAUAACGUCGCAAGACCAAAGUGGGGGACCUUCGGGCCUCACACCAUCGGAUGUGCCCAGAUGGGAUUAGCUAGUAGGUGGGGUAAUGGCUCACCUAGGCGACGAUCCCUAGCUGGUCUGAGAGGAUGACCAGCCACACUGGAACUGAGACACGGUCCAGACUCCUACGGGAGGCAGCAGUGGGGAAUAUUGCACAAUGGGCGCAAGCCUGAUGCAGCCAUGCCGCGUGUAUGAAGAAGGCCUUCGGGUUGUAAAGUACUUUCAGCGGGGAGGAAGGCGGUGAAGUUAAUAACUUCACCGAUUGACGUUACCCGCAGAAGAAGCACCGGCUAACUCCGUGCCAGCAGCCGCGGUAA